rnacentral:rRNA from 1 species
GACGAACGCUGGCGGCGUGCCUAAUACAUGCAAGUAGAACGCUGAAGGAGGAGCUUGCUUCUCUGGAUGAGUUGCGAACGGGUGAGUAACGCGUAGGUAACCUGCCUGGUAGCGGGGGAUAACUAUUGGAAACGAUAGCUAAUACCGCAUAAUAGUAGAUGUUGCAUGACAUUUGCUUAAAAGGUGCAAUUGCAUCACUACCAGAUGGACCUGCGUUGUAUUAGCUAGUUGGUGGGGUAACGGCUCACCAAGGCGACGAUACAUAGCCGACCUGAGAGGGUGAGCGGCCACACUGGGACGGAGACAAGGACCAGACUCCUACGGGAGGCAGCAGUAGGGAAUCUUCGGCAAUAGACGGAAGUCUGACCGAGCAACGACGCGUGAGUGAAGAAGGAUUUCGGAUCGUAAAGCUCUGUUGUAAGAGAAGAACGAGUGUGAGAGUGGAAAGUUCACACUGUGACGGUAUCUGACCAGAAAGGGACGGCUAACUACGUG